GAUGAAGAACGCAGCGAAAUGCGAUAAGUAAUGUGAAUUGCAGAAUUCAGUGAAUCAUCGAAUCUUUGAACGCACAUUGCGCCCGCCAGUAUUCUGGCGGGCAUGCCUGUUGGAGCGUCAUUUCAACCAUCAAGCCCCAGGCUUGUGUUGGGGACCUGCGGCUGCCGCAGGCCCUGAAAAUCAGUGGCGGGCUCGCUAGUCACUCCGAGCGUAGUAAUACAUCUCGCUCUGGACGUGCUUCGUGCUCCGGCCAUUAAACACCUUAUUUACCCAAGGUUGACCUCGGAUCAGGUAGGAAGACCCGCUGAACUUAAGCAUAUCAAUAAGCGGAGGA
rnacentral:misc_RNA from 1 species